rnacentral:rRNA from 1 species
AGGUUUGGAUCCUGGCUCAAAGCGAACGCUGGGGGCGCUGUCGUUAACACAUGCAAGUCGAGCGCAGGCAUUUUCAGGGGUAACCCUGAAAUGUGCUGAGCGGCGGCACGAGUGCGUGAUACGUGGAUAACCUACCUUUAUGCCUGGGAUAACUCCGGGGAAACUGGAGCUAAUACCGGAUAAGACCACGGUUUCUAUGGCUGCUGAGGUAAAAGGCGUGCUGGGUAACUAGCUGUCGCGUAUAGAUGGGUCCACGUCCCACCAGGUAGUUGGCGAGGUAACGGCUCACCAAGCCUAAGACGGGUAGCUGGCCUUAGCGGGUGGUCAGCCACUCGGGGGACUGAGA